rnacentral:lncRNA from 1 species
CGUAGGUCAGGGGUUCGGACUUCAAUGGAGCUUUUGGAGGGUCACAAUUCAACCCAUAACAGGAGCCACACCAGGGGAGGAGGAGACCAGAGGCGAGCGGCAGUCACCGAGGCCAAGAGCACCAAGGAGCACAGGGCUGCGGACAGGGCUUUGGACGGGCAGCCUGGAGGCCUCUGCAGAAGCUGGCAGGAGCACCGUCAGAGGAGUGGCCCCGUCUACAAGGAUUGCCUCACCUCUGCCAGGGCCAUGGGCAUGGGAGCCAGGUCAGCCUAUCCCUUGGUCCCAGGCAUAGACACAUUUCACAAAGAGGUCAGUGAAAGGCUUCCCAAAGACCUGACAUAUGGAUGUGGACAUCAUCUCUUUUUUCUCUCUCUUCUUCUGGCGUGAAAGCUUUAAGGACCAUCCACAGGGGUCUGGAGCUUCCAUGGUACCUGUGCGAGCCCCAUGGAAGAAACUUUAUGCGGAAUGGGACCAAGCUGGGACAGCAGCCUGGGAGAAAGAGAUAGAGAGAGAGAAGAUCUAGAAUAUUCUUUGAAAACUGGAUCCAGCUGUGCCAGAGCUAGAAUUCUUAAUGUUGUGAACCAACUAAUUUCCUUGGACUUGGUUGAAUCUCAGGCACUUGCCAUGAGUGAGUCGCACUAACAUAUUUGUUUCUAGGAAGAACGCAUUGAUCAAGGUUUGUGUCACAAGUGUCCACAGCAUAUGUAAUAUGGGAUUUGACCUCAUAAUUGCCAUUAUAAACAUCAGUGCUUCAAAGUCUCCUGAUGCCAAAAAUUUUAUUUCUUUUUGUGACUUUCUUCUUAUUCCUCAUCAAAGAGCACCUUUCUUCUGCUUCAAGUUUAUACUUCUACAUUCUACGGAGGAGCUCCUGGUGGAGAGAAAGAUUUAAUGAUUAAUUGAUACUGAAUAUAGAUUUGUUUUCAUUUCGAAGUUCAUUGAAAUAAAAAGUACGUCCUGUAACUAACUCUAAGGGAA